CUAUAUUUACUGUCAUUAUCACAUUCAGAAUAAAUGAGUUCAUGCAAAAGCUGAAAAUAAGAUGCAUUUCUAACUGUUCCGAGACCAGUGCAGACAGACGGCACACUGGAGGUUAAGUCAUGCACUAAAUAGGGAGCAAGGGAGUAUCCUAUAGCUCUCCUAUAACUGUUCUGAGACCAGUGCAGACAGACAGCACACUGGAGGUUAAGUCAUGCACUAAAUAGGGAGCAAGGGAGUAUCCUAUAGCUCUCCUAUAACUGUUCUGAGACCAGUGCAGACAGACGGCACACUGGAGGUUAAGUCAUGCACUAAAUAGGGAGCAAGGGAGUAUCCUAUAGCUCUCUAUAACUGUUCUGAGACCAGUGCAGACAGACGGCACACUGGAGGUUAAGUCAUGCACUAAAUAGGGAGCAAGGGAGUAUCCUAUAGCUCUCCUAUAACUGUUCUGAGACCAGUGCAGACAGACAGCACACUGGAGGUUAAGUCAUGCACUAAAUAGGGAGCAAGGGAGUAUCCUAUAGCUCUCCUAUAACUGUUCUGAGACCAGUGCAGACAGACGGCACACUGGAGGUUAAGUCAUGCACUAAAUAGGGAGCAAGGGAGUAUCCUAUAGCUCUCUAUAACUGUUCUGAGACCAGUGCAGACAGACGGCACACUGGAGGUUAAGUCAUGCACUAAAUAGGGAGCAAGGGAGUAUCCUAUAGCUCUCCUAUAACUGUUCUGAGACCAGUGCAGACAGACAGCACACUGGAGGUUAAGUCAUGCACUAAAUAGGGAGCAAGGGAGUAUCCUAUAGCUCUCCUAUAACUGUUCUGAGACCAGUGCAGACAGACGGCACACUGGAGGUUAAGUCAUGCACUAAAUAGGGAGCAAGGGAGUAUCCUAUAGCUCUCUAUAACUGUUCUGAGACCAGUGCAGACAGACGGCACACUGGAGGUUAAGUCAUGCACUAAAUAGGGAGCAAGGGAGCAUCCUAUAGCUCUCCUAUAACUGUUCUGAGACCAGUGCAGACAGACAGCACACUGGAGGUUAAAUCAUUCACUAAAUAGGGAGCAAGGGAGUACCUAUAGCUCUCCUAUAACUGUUCUGAGACCAGUGCAGACAGACAGCACACUGGAGGUUAAGUCAUGCACUAAAUAGGGAGCAAGGGAGCAUCCUAUAGUUCUCC